rnacentral:rRNA from 1 species
AACGAACGCUGGCGGCAUGCCUAACACAUGCAAGUCGAACGAGACCUUCGGGUCUAGUGGCGCACGGGUGCGUAACGCGUGGGAACCUGCCCUUAGGUUCGGAAUAACUCCCCGAAAGGGGUGCUAAUACCGGAUAAUGUCUUCGGACCAAAGAUUUAUCGCCUUUGGAUGGGCCCGCGUUGGAUUAGCUAGUUGGUAGGGUAAAAGCCUACCAAGGCGACGAUCCAUAGCUGGGAUGAGAGGAUGAUCAGCCACACUGGGACUGAGACACGGCCCAGACGCCUACGGGAGGCAGCAGGGGGGAAUAUUGGACAAUGGGCGAAAGCCUGAGCCAGCAAUGCCGCGUGAGUGAUGAAGGCGUUAGGGUUGUAAAGCUCUUUUACCCGGGAUGAUAAUGACAGUACCGGGAGAAUAAGCUCCGGCUAACUCCGU